CCUACGGGUGGCAGCAGUGGGGAAUAUUGGACAAUGGGCGAAAGCCUGAUCCAGCCAUGCCGCGUGUGUGAAGAAGGCCUUCGGGUUGUAAAGCACUUUCAGUGGGGAAGAAAGCCUUGGGGCUAAUACCCUCGAGGAAGGACAUCACCCACAGAAGAAGCACCGGCUAACUCCGUGCCAGCAGCCGCGGUAAUGCGGAGGGUGCGAGCGUUAAUCGGAAUUACUGGGCGUAAAGCGCGCGUAGGCGGUCUGAUAAGCCGGUUGUGAAAGCCCCGGGCUCAACCUGGGAACGGCAUCCGGAACUGUCAGGCUAGAGUGCAGGAGAGGAAGGUAGAAUUCCCGGUGUAGCGGUGAAAUGCGUAGAGAUCGGGAGGAAUACCAGUGGCGAAGGCGGCCUUCUGGACUGACACUGACGCUGAGGUGCGAAAGCGUGGGUAGCAAACAGGAUUAGAUACCCCGUAGUC
rnacentral:rRNA from 1 species